UGCCACCGACCGUAACCGGCGGUGAGCGCUUAGAGACUUCAAAUUAAAUAGAUCCCCGCUUGGAUCGUAAAACGGCCGAGACGGUAAA
rfam:Dehalococcoides sp. BAV1, complete genome.